rnacentral:piRNA from 1 species
UUUUGGAGAAAAGUGAAGAUA